GAUGAACGCUGGCGGCGUGCUUAACACAUGCAAGUCGAACGAUGAAGCCCAGCUUGCUGGGUGGAUUAGUGGCGAACGGGUGAGUAACACGUGAGUAACCUGCCCUUAACUCUGGGAUAAGCCUGGGAAACUGGGUCUAAUACCGGAUAGGAGCGUCCACCGCAUGGUGGGUGUUGGAAAGAUUUAUCGGUUUUGGAUGGACUCGCGGCCAGUCAGCUUGUUGGUGUGGUGUUGGCUCACCCAGGCGAUGACGGGUAGACGGCCCGAGAGGGGGAGCGGCAACAAUGGGAGUGAGAUAAGGCACAGCAGACGACGGGAGGAAGCAGGGGGGAAGAGUGUAGAAUGGGAGGAAGCGUGAUGCAGCAACGAAGCGUGCGGGAGGAAGGCCUACGGGUUGUAAAACGGUUGCGCAGGGGAAGAAGCGGGAGUGACGGUAAGGGGUAAAGAAGCACCGGCUAACUACGUG
rnacentral:rRNA from 1 species